GAUGAACGCUGGCGGCGUGCCUAACACAUGCAAGUCGAACGAAGCUACAUUUUACGAUCCCUUCGGGGUGACGAAUUGUAGACUGAGUGGCGGACGGGUGAGUAACGCGUGGGCAACCUGCCCUAUACCGGGGGAUAGCAGCUGGAAACGGCUGACAAUACCGCAUAAGCGCACAGAGAGACAUCUCUUGGUGUGAAAAACUCCGGUGGUAUAGGAUGGACCCGCGUCUGAUUAGCCAGUUGGUGAGGUAAAGGCCCACCAAAGCGAAGAUCAGUAGACGACCUGAGAGGGUGACCGGCCACAUUGGGACUGAGACACGGCCCAAACUCCUACGGGAGGCAGCAGUGGGGAAUAUUGCACAAUGGGCGAAAGCCUGAUGCAGCGACGCCGCGUGAGUGAUGAAGUAUUUCGGUAUGUAAAGCUCUAUCAGCAGGGAAGAAAAUGACGGUACCUGACUAAGAAGCUCCGGCUAAAUACGUGCCAGCCGCCGCGGUAA
rnacentral:rRNA from 1 species